rnacentral:lncRNA from 1 species
GAGGGUUGCUCGGGUGGCACUUGUCUGGGGAUGGGUUGUCUCCUGAAGGUGUCCUUGGUGGGGCUGAGACCCCCAGAGCUUGCCUUAUCCACAUGUCAUCCUCCUGGAGAACUUCUGGAGGGAGCCUGAUCCAUGCUUCAUGUUCCUGGAGACCCCCAGAGCCUGCCUGAUCCACACUUUGUGCUCCUGGAGAACUUCUGGAGCCUGCCUGGUCCACGCUUCGUGUUCCUGGAGACCCCCAGAGGCUGCCUGAUCCACACUUGGUGCUCCUGGAGAACCUCUGGAGGCAGCCUGAUCCAUGCUUGGUGCUCCUGGAGAACCUCUGGAGGGAGCCUGAUCCAUGCUUCAUGUUCCUGGAGACCCCCAGAGCCUGCCUGAUCCACACAUCAUCCUCCUGGAGAACCUCUGGAGCCUGUCUGGUCCACACUUCAUGCUUCUGGAGAACCUCUGGAGGCAGCCUGAUCCAUGCUUGGUGCUCCUGGAGAACCUCUGGAGCCUGCCUGGUCCACACUUCAUGCUCCUGGAGACCCCCAGAGCCUGCCUGAUCCACACAUCAUCCUCCUGGAGAACCUCUGGAGCCUGUCUGGUCCACACUUCAUGCUUCUGGAGAACCUCUGGAGGCAGCCUGAUCCAUGCUUCAUGUUCCUGGAAACCCUCUGCAGCCUGUCUGAUCCAUGCUUCAUGCUCCUGGAGACCUCCUGGAGCCAGCCUGAUCCACACGUCAUGCUCCUGGAGACCCCCUGGGCUAGCCUGAUUCACGUCAUGCUCCAGGAGACCCCUUGGGCCAGCGUGAUCCAUGCUUCAUGUUCCUGGAGACCCCCAGAGCCUGCCUGAUCCACACUUUGUGCUCCUGAAGACCCCCAGAGCCUGCCUGAUCCACGCUUCAUGUUCCUGGAGACACCUGGACCCUUCCUUCUAGCACCGGGCAGGAGCCACACUGUGGCAGAUGCCCAUCCUUUGGACCUUAACCCAGGCAGCAUUUCAUGGGGACAGAGAUGUGUUCUGUUAGGGCUGAAAACAGGAGGAAAAAAGGAGAAAACAAGCGCCACUGGGACACAAAGACUUCUCCGGCCCGGGCUGGUGGGACGCGAGGCUGCCGGCGGCAGGGGGGUGCCCAUGUGGGGAGCGGGCACCUCACAGCAACCCUGUGGCACCAGCUGGGAAGCCUCGGAAAGAAGUAAGGAAGGCGAGAGGGGAAAGGGCUGGCCCCGGGACCCCCCUCCGUCUACUGGCUCCCCUCGGGGUCCGACACGUGGGUCUUCACCUGCAAAGAGAAACGUGCGGCGUGACACUCCUCUGAUGGGCCUGGGGAGUGGGAUCAACACCCCCCCUCCCCUCCCAGGGUCCCCACACCCAGCUGGGGGAUGAUAAAAGGUAUUUCUACUCCAAAGAAGGUGGGUUUUUGUUUUUGUUUUUUCAGCCUCUGCUGCGGGAAUAACG